UUGUGGGAAGGAGGCGGCAGCGUCUCGGGCGGGCGGGAGGUGCACCAGCGGCGGCGGCGGUAAAUCCUCCCGGCCGCUCACAGCACUGUGGAGCCGCGUCCCCAGCCCGGCCUCGGACCGCGGCACCCCUCCUGGCCCUCGCGGCUUCUCGCCCGCCCGCCCCUCCCCCGCGCGUCGGCCCUGCCGAGCCGGCCGGCCGGCCUGGCUCCCCUCCUCGGCCCCGACGGGCGGGCGGACUGCCCUGAGGAGGCGGGGAGGGGAGGGCUGGGCCGGCCGGCGGGCGGACGACGAUGCCGAACUUCUGCGCUGCCCCCAACUGCACGCGGAAGAGCACGCAGUCCGACUUGGCCUUCUUCAGGUUUCCGCGGGACCCGGCCAGAUGCCAGAAGUGGGUGGAGAACUGUAGGAGAGCAGACUUAGAAGAUAAAACACCUGAUCAGCUAAAUAAACAUUAUCGAUUAUGUGCCAAACAUUUUGAGACCUCUAUGAUCUGUAGAACUAUACAUUUUGCAGAGGCAUCAGAAAACUAAAGAAUGAUUGGGUUAUUUUAUUUCUCAAAAUUAAUUGAAGCAGAUACUUGUGAAGUCAUUGGGAGAGUCCUUAUAGGACAGUUCUUCGAGAUAAUGCAAUACCAACAAUAUUUGAUCUUACCAGUCAUUUGAACAACCCACAUAGCAGACACAGAAAACGAAUAAAAGAACUGAGUGAAGAUGAAAUCAGGACACUGAAACAGAAAAAAAUUGAUGAAACUUCUGAGCAGGAACAGAAACAUAAAGAAACCAACAAUAGCAAUGCUCAGAACCCCAGUGAAGAAGAGGGUGAAGGGCAAGAUGAGGACAUUUUACCUCUAACCCUUGAAGAGAAGGAAAACAAAGAAUACCUAAAAUCUCUAUUUGAAAUACUGAUUCUGAUGGGAAAGCAAAACAUACCUCUGGAUGGACAUGAGGCUGAUGAAAUCCCAGAAGGUCUCUUUACUCCAGAUAACUUUCAGGCACUGCUAGAGUGUCGGAUAAAUUCUGGUGAAGAGGUUCUGAGAAAGCGAUUUGAGACAACAGCAGUUAACACGUUGUUUUGUUCGAAAACACAGCAGAGGCAGAUGCUAGAGAUCUGUGAGAGCUGUAUUCGAGAAGAAACUCUCAGGGAAGUGAGAGACUCACACUUCUUUUCUAUUAUCACUGAUGAUGUAGUGGACAUAGCAGGGGAAGAGCACCUACCUGUGUUGGUUAGGUUUGUUGAUGAAUCUCAUAACCUAAGAGAGGAAUUUAUAGGCUUCCUGCCUUAUGAAGCUGAUGCAGAAAUUUUGGCUGUGAAAUUUCACACUAUGAUAACUGAGAAGUGGGGAUUAAAUAUGGAGUAUUGUCGUGGCCAGGCUUACAUUGUGUCUAGUGGAUUUUCUUCCAAAAUGAAAGUUGUUGCUUCUAGACUUUUAGAGAAAUAUCCCCAAGCUAUCUACACACUCUGCUCUUCCUGUGCCUUAAAUACGUGGUUGGCAAAAUCAGUACCUGUUAUGGGAGUAUCUGUUGCAUUAGGAACAAUUGAGGAAGUUUGUUCUUUUUUCCAUCGAUCACCGCAACUGCUUUUAGAACUUGACAACGUAAUUUCUGUUCUUUUUCAGAACAGUAAAGAAAGGGGUAAAGAACUGAAGGAAAUCUGCCAUUCUCAGUGGACAGGCAGGCAUGAUGCUUUUGAAAUUUUAGUGGAACUCCUGCAAGCACUUGUUUUAUGUUUAGAUGGUAUAAAUAGUGACACAAAUAUUAGAUGGAAUAACUGUAUAGCUGGCCGAGCAUUUGUACUCUGCAGUGCAGUAACAGAUUUUGAUUUCAUUGUUACUAUUGUUGUUCUUAAAAAUGUCCUAUCUUUUACAAGAGCCUUUGGGAAAAAUCUCCAGGGGCAAACUUCUGAUGUCUUCUUUGCAGCUGGUAGCUUGACUGCAGUACUGCAUUCACUCAACGAAGUGAUGGAAAAUAUUGAAGUUUAUCAUGAAUUUUGGUUUGAGGAAGCCACAAAUUUGGCAACCAAACUUGAUAUUCAAAUGAAACUCCCUGGGAAAUUCCGCAGAGCUCACCAGGGUAACUUGGAAUCUCAGCUAACCUCUGAGAGUUACUAUAAAGAAACCCUAAGUGUCCCAACAGUGGAGCACAUUAUUCAGGAACUUAAAGAUAUAUUCUCAGAACAGCACCUCAAAGCUCUUAAAUGCUUGUCUCUGGUACCCUCAGUCAUGGGACAACUCAAAUUCAAUACAUCGGAGGAACACCAUGCUGACAUGUAUAGAAGUGACUUACCCAAUCCUGACACGCUCUCAGCCGAGCUUCAUUGUUGGAGAAUCAAAUGGAAACACAGGGGGAAAGAUAUAGAGCUUCCAUCCACCAUCUAUGAAGCCCUCCACCUGCCUGACAUCAAGUUUUUUCCUAAUGUGUAUGCAUUGCUGAAGGUCCUGUGUAUUCUUCCUGUGAUGAAGGUUGAGAAUGAGCGAUAUGAAAAUGGACGAAAGCGUCUUAAAGCAUAUUUGAGGAACACUUUGACAGACCAAAGGUCGAGUAACUUGGCUUUGCUUAACAUAAAUUUUGAUAUAAAACAUGACCUGGAUUUAAUGGUGGACACAUAUAUUAAACUCUAUACAAGUAAGUCAGAGCUUCCCACAGAUAAUUCUGAAACUGUGGAAAAUACCUAAGGGACUUUUAAAAACAGGCUUUCUUAUAUUUGAUAUUUGGAAGAAAAGCCGUAAGGUGUAUGUAGGCCACUUAAUCACUAAAUAUCUUUGCCUAUAGGACUCCACUGAAUACAUUAGCCAUUGGUAAUCUACCUGUUUAAAUGGCCCCUGUUUUUGAACUCUCAUGCUUUGAAGACCUACCUGUCCUUCCAGAAGAGAACAUUGAAAGUGCCGUAUUUCCUUCUGCGUGAUCUCUGUUGACGGCACUCUGGAAUUGUUUUAGUUAAGUCAUUUUAGACAUAACAUUUAUUAUCACUGUGGAUCUCUACUUCUUGGGUGUUAUGAAUUCUUCGAAGAAAUAUAUUUUGAAGAGGUGUGGGAGGGAGGAAUACAUUUUAUAAAAUGGUAUAGUGAAGCCCACAAUUGAUCUUUGACUAAUAGGAGUUUUAAGUGUGCUAAAAAUCUAUACUGGACAGUUACAAGAAAUUACUGGAGAAAAGCUUACGAGCUCGCCAAACAAGGAUUUCAGUGUAGAUUUUGUGUUUCUCGAACUUAAAGGAACAAAUGACAGAGUUUGAAUGGAAAGGCCUGCUGUUGUUCCACAUCUCAUUGUUGCUGUUUACAUUCCUUUCUGGAGCCUACAUCUUCCUAAGUUUUUUAGCAGGUAUAUGUUGAACACUUCUGUUUCAUGAUUGAGACAGAAUCAGAGGCCAUGGAUACUGACAACUGAUUUGUCUGUUUUUUUCUGUCUUUUUCCAUGACUCUUAUCUACUGCCUCAUCUUGAUUUAUAAGCAAAACCUGGAAAACCUACAAAAAUAAGUGUUGUGGUUUAUCUAGAAAAAUAUGGAAAAUAUUGCUGUUAUUUUUGGUGAAGAAAAUCAAUUUUGUAUAGUUUAUUUCAAUCUAAAUAAAAUGUGAAUUUUGUUUAAA